rnacentral:lncRNA from 1 species
CACACACACACACGACUCUGCAACAGUUUUAGUCCUCAAUGCUUUGGAGCUACUCUAAUGUUUUGAGAGGAAAGUAAUUUUUCAAUUUCUGUUUUACCCCAAACCUAACAGGUGACUGGCCUAAAGGGACUUUGUUCCCCAUCCCCUGCUUAAUGCUGCUGGCUCACCAUAGCUCUAGUGAUUCAGAAUUUAAAUCGAAUGCGAACAUUUGCGAGUAAUGCAGGGAGUGAUGAGAGCUUUUAUGGACAGCAAGAAUUGAAGUUCGAAGCAAAAUGGCACAAAUACAGCGGAUAACAGAGGUGGCUCUCCUCUGGGAAGUCAUCAGGACUCUCGUCUGCUGUGGGGCUACAUGGAGUCCAGGCCCCAGGCUCCUUCUCUCUUGUUGUUUGGCCAUCCUGGAGACUUUGCCCUCAUCUGCAUCCCCAAAAUGGGGCAUCACUGUGUCCAUAUCCAGCCUGUGGAAUGGGGAAAAGAGAAAGGAAGCAUGCCCCUUCCCUAACGGUAUGACCCAGAAAAUAUAGGCAGGAGUUCCACUCAUAUCCCAGACACCAGAACGUACAAGGCCACACAUACUUGCCAGGAAAGCUUGAAUAUAGUCUUUAUUUGGUAUGGUCAUGUACCCAGAAAACAUUUGACAAAAUAUUGGGAUCAUGUUCUAGCGUAGCCCCCUUAGGGAUGAGGGGGUUAAGAGCGUUGAUAGAAGGGAAUGGUUUUAAUAAUAGACAAUCAAAUCUAAGCUCAGUAUCAGUCCUGGAAAGGGCUCAGAUUGGGCUUUCUUGAAUCAAAUCUCUUCCUCUCAUUCUCUACCUAUGCCCCUAGAUAUUCAAGCUGCCUGCUCACCCCCAAACCUGCUUCCCUAGUCUCAUCAUUUCUCCUCAUUUCCUUAGCUACAAAACUAGCCCAGCCUCUUAAUUAAGCAGUAGGAGUGAUAGAAGGCAGAAAAGGCUGGUAGCCCUCCUUGCCAAGAUGUGGAGAGAAACUGCCUAGGAAAAAUUCAAUAUAGAAAAAAGAUUUCACAGAGAGAAUAAGAGAGCCUGAUUUUGAAAGUAUUGUUUGCACCCCUGAGCCAGAAAAGUAUAGGGACGGCCCAUCCCCUUACAGCUCCCAGUGGAAUCAAUAAAUACCCCUUUUUGCUCAAGCUAGUUGAAAUUGUACUUUCUUCACUUGCACCCAGAACAUGUCUCACUAAUAUAACCUUCAAGAAAUUCCCAUUCUAGUGAAGGAUUGCCAGGAGGCAGAAAACUGCUCAACUUAUUAAACUUCAGUCAGUUCCACAUAGGGCCAGUUUUCUCUUUUCCACUAUUGAGCUAGAACAUAUACAUUUCCAGGCAAAAAAAUAAAAAAGUGGUAGAAUUUAUAAACUUUUAGGAAAACUUAACAUUCAACUUUGCAUCACCCACUUCGAAUAGAGACUAAUAUUGGAUCAUAGACACAAAUAUUGGUAUCUAUCACAUGACUGGCUAAUCUUAAUUUUUUAAAAUAUCUUUAAAAUGACCAUUUUUAAUCAAAUGUUCAAGGCAGCUAGCUCUCUUCUUGUUUAAAAAUUAAUUAGAUUUUUUAAAGAAAAUAUUCUUCCUGCAGAUAAUACACAUGAGAAAACCUUGUCCAUUAUGUUCUUGGGUGGCCUUGAAGCAUAGGUGGCCACCGCAUGGCAGAAUCAAUGCAUCUAAGGACGUGCUGAAUGCCUCCAUUAAGGCUUCAGCUUUAGUGCCAAGGGCAGAAUUCCAUAACAUUGGGCCUUUGCUCAAGAGUGUUUUCUGUUCAGGCUGAGUCAAGGCUAACUUAGGUGCCUCAAGUAAAAUCAACUAAAAACAGACAAUAGACUUCAGGCUUAGGAUCUGGAACUACUCAAAGCCUUGUUCACACUUGAAAGUGGAUUUGGUGCUAAGUCUUCAGCUUGUUUGAAAAGGAUUAUCAGAGCCAAUGAGAGGAGUUUUGGAGCCAGGACAAAUGCUAAAUUUUAGGUCCAUGAGCGUGGAAGAGUGACUUG